rnacentral:rRNA from 1 species
CGGACGGGUGAGUAAUGUCUGGGGAUCUGCCUGAUGGAGGGGGAUAACUACUGGAAACGGUAGCUAAUACCGCAUGACGUCGCAAGACCAAAGUGGGGGACCUUCGGGCCUCACGCCAUCGGAUGAACCCAGAUGGGAUUAGCUGGUAGGUGGGGUAACGGCUCACCUAGGCGACGAUCCCUAGCUGGUCUGAGAGGAUGACCAGCCACACUGGAACUGAGACACGGUCCAGACUCCUACGGGAGGCAGCAGUGGGGAAUAUUGCACAAUGGGGGAAACCCUGAUGCAGCCAUGCCGCGUGUGUGAAGAAGGCCUUCGGGU